CGGCACAACUUAGAGGAUGUGAGAGGUAUAUGGAACUCAAGGUGUAGGGGUGAAAUCCGUUGAUAUCUUGGGGAACACCAAAUGCGAAGGCAAUAUACUGGCACACUCCUGACGCUGAAACAUGAAAGCUAGGGUAGCGAAGGGGAUUAGAUACCCCCGUAGUCCACGCCCUCAACGAUGCGAGCUCGGUGUAGGGAUUUUUCAAUCGAUCCCUGUGCCCUAAGCUUACGCGGUAAGCUCGCCGCCUGGGAAGUACGGCCGCAAGGCUAAAACUCAAAGGAAUAGACGGGGACCCACACAAGCGGUGGAGCAUGGGGUUUAAUUCGAUGACAAGCGAAGCACCUCACCCAGGCUUGACAUCUCGGGAAUCCGGCCGAAAGGUUGGAGUGCCGCAAGGAACCCGAAGACAGGUGGUGCACGGUCGUCGUCAGCUCGUGCCUUGAGGUGUACUGUUCAGUCAGCCAACGAGCGCAACCCUCAUCCCAUGUUGUUUUUUCAUGGGAGACUGCCGCCUCCAAGGCGGAAGAAGGUGAGGAUGACGUCAGAUCAGCGUGCCCUUUAUGCCUGGGGCAACACCCGUGCUACAAUGGUCGGUACAAACGGCAGCAAACCCGCGAGGGCAAGCAAAUCCGAAAAAACCGGCCUCAGUUCGGAUUGCAGUCUGCAACUCGACUGCAUGAAGUUGGAAUCGCUAGUAACCGUGAAUCAGCUACGUCACGGUGAAUAUGUUCCUGGGUCUUGUACUCACCGCCCGUCAACUCAUGAAAGGCAGGAACACCCGAAGCACCCUUACCUUUAUUGGGGGGUAUCACGGUGAGACUGCUGAUUGGGAGUAAGUCGUAACAAGGUAUCCGUAGGAGAACCUGCG
rnacentral:rRNA from 1 species